GUCUGGGGGAGGAGUCUGAGAAUUUGCAUUCCAAGAAGAGCCCAGGUGCUGGUACUGCUCCCGAACACACCCUGGGAAUCACUGGCUUAGUCCAAGUCUCCUUAGAAGCCACUUUGAGUGAGUGCAGGUUCCGGGUCCCUUCCAGACUUGGAUCCGGGACGCGUGGCUCUGGCCUCUGGUUCUGGCUCUGCCGCUCUCUGACCCUGGAUUGGUCACAUCCUUCUCCGAGCAUUGGACAAACAUAUCGCUCAAGCACCUCUUAAGCUCUAAGAACCUUUGUUGAGUCUGUGGUCCUCAGACACUUCAGUCUGGUGUUGAAGUGAGGAUUCCCUUCCAUCCACACAUGAGGAAUGCAAACACUCCCCUAAGCUGAAGACCACCAGGAGCACACCUGCACAGGAUCCUUGGGUCACAAGGCUUUGAGAGAGAGAGAGGUGUCUGCCACCAAAGAGGAGGCAAAAGGGAGGGACAGAAAGUAUCACCUGCCACAGCUUGGCACAGUCUACACACAGCUCUUUGAGAUGGCUGCCGAUGACUUCCAGAUUCUACAUGUUCAGGAGAGAGAGGAGGUGUCUUCCAGAGUGCUCUAGAAAGAGCUAAGAAACUAACACUUGUCUGCAGCCUCAGAUGGACUCAAAUGCCCACUCCUGAACCAGUUACAAGACCAGAGGAUGGGGUGUAUUGUUGGUUUAGACUUUAGCUGAACAUCCCACUCCUAGCGCAGGGGUAGAGUUAUUCCCCCAAGCACAUUAGGAGAUGUGGACACAGCAACAUAAAUUAGAGUAGCUAGCAUGAAAAAUGGGUAUGGAUAUUGGACAGUCAACCCCCAUGUGUACCAACAAAUUCAUACCUCCAUUUUGACCUCCAGGUUCCAAAUUACUAAAUUCUACUCAAUAUCUCCACUUGGAUGUCUGAUAUUGCCCUCAAGGGUAACAUGGCCAAAAUAGAUCUCAUGAUUCACUUCCCUGCCCAUCUCUUCCUCCCUCAGUCUUCUCCAUCUCAGUAAAUGGCACCAAUCAUUCACCCAGUUGCUUAAGCCAAAAAUUAAUUUAGCUCUUACCCCCUACCCUUCACACACCCAGCUCUAGCCACACCAGCAUUCUUUUGGUUCCUAGAAUUCUUCCCACCUCCGGACCUUUGCACUUGCUGUUCCCUCUGCCUGAUAUGCUCUAGAGUCAGAAGUUCACAUGGCGAGCUGUUGCGCUAGAUUCAGAAGUUCACAUGGCAAGCUGUUGCCUUUAUUCAAAUAUCACCUUUCCUGGCCACUGUAUCCAAACUAGGCACCCAAUCUGUCCCCCCCGCCAUUACUGUCCCUCACAUCUCUCUGUUUUGGUUUCUUCUUAGAACUCACCACUGUGUGAAAUGAUCUUGUUCAUUCAUUUUGUUUUCUCCUUUAUUGUCUGUCCCCCGUCUACAAUGAAAGAUCCACGCCAGCAAAGACCUUUGUCUCUCUGUCUUGUUCACUUCUAUGUCCAGUGGAUCUACGCAAAUAUCUAUCUGCGUGAUAUCUCUGUGAACACCUAUGUGAAUGCUGUUCCCUGGAGUUGUGUGACACAGAAGCACCGGCUGUAUCCCAGAACCCAGCACGUGUCUGGUGCAUGGCAAUUCUCAGUCAGAGUAGGUCAGUAAGUAGAUGAAUGCACAAGCGGAUGACUAGAGGGUUGGGUGGAGGGACGGGUGGAUGGGUAGAUGGAUGGAUGGGGUGAAUGGGGUGCGUAAGUAGAACGCCUCCUGAAAGUAGAAAGACUACGUGGUUAGCAGGCUCUGGUUGGGGCAGAGAUGUUCUUUGGGAUCCAGAACCCCGUCGCUUCUCGGCCUUUUGGCUAAAGGUCAAGUGUGGAAUCCAGCACCCUUUAUAUUGUCUUCCCUCUACGAGUUCACUUCUCUCAGUCAUGUUGCAAAAAGAAAAGUUCUAGCUUCGA